rnacentral:rRNA from 1 species
GACGAACGCUGGCGGCGUGCCUAAUACAUGCAAGUAGAACGCACAGUUUAUACCGUAGCUUGCUACACCAUAGACUGUGAGUUGCGAACGGGUGAGUAACGCGUAGGUAACCUGCCUGGUAGCGGGGGAUAACUAUUGGAAACGAUAGCUAAUACCGCAUAAUAUUGAUUAUUGCAUGAUAAUUGAUUGAAAGAUGCUAUUGCAUCACUACCAGAUGGACCUGCGUUGUAUUAGCUAGUAGGUGAGGUAACGGCUCACCUAGGCGACGAUACAUAGCCGACCUGAGAGGGUGAUCGGCCACACUGGGACUGAGACACGGCCCAGACUCCUACGGGAGGCAGCAGUAGGGAAUCUUCGGCAAUGGACGAAAGUCUGACCGAGCAACGCCGCGUGAGUGAAGAAGGCUUUCGGAUCGUAAAGCUCUGUUGUAAGAGAAGAACGGGUGUGAGAGUGGAAAGUUCACACUGUGACGGUAUCUUACCAGAAAGGGACGGCUAACUACGUG